CUCCUACGGGAGGCAGCAGUGAGGAAUAUUGGUCAAUGGGCGAGAGCCUGAACCAGCCAAGUAGCGUGAAGGAUGACUGCCCUAUGGGUUGUAAACUUCUUUUAUAAAGGAAUAAAGUCGGGUAUGCAUACCCGUUUGCAUGUACUUUAUGAAUAAGGAUCGGCUAACUCCGUGCCAGCAGCCGCGGUAAUACGGAGGAUCCGAGCGUUAUCCGGAUUUAUUGGGUUUAAAGGGAGCGUAGAUGGAUGUUUAAGUCAGUUGUGAAAGUUUGCGGCUCAACCGUAAAAUUGCAGUUGAUACUGGAUAUCUUGAGUGCAGUUGAGGCAGGCGGAAUUCGUGGUGUAGCGGUGAAAUGCUUAGAUAUCACGAAGAACUCCGAUUGCGAAGGCAGCCUGCUAAGCUGCAACUGACAUUGAGGCUCGAAAGUGUGGGUAUCAAACAGGAUUAGAUACCCUGGUAGUCCACACGGUAAACGAUGAAUACUCGCUGUUUGCGAUAUACAGCAAGCGGCCAAGCGAAAGCGUUAAGUAUUCCACCUGGGGAGUACGCCGGCAACGGUGAAACUCAAAGGAAUUGACGGGGGCCCGCACAAGCGGAGGAACAUGUGGUUUAAUUCGAUGAUACGCGAGGAACCUUACCCGGGCUUAAAUUGCAGAUGAAUUACGGUGAAAGCCGUAAGCCGCAAGGCAUCUGUGAAGGUGCUGCAUGGUUGUCGUCAGCUCCUACGGGAGGCAGCAGUGAGGAAUAUUGGUCAAUGGGCGAGAGCCUGAACCAGCCAAGUAGCGUGCAGGAAGACGGCCCUAUGGGUUGUAAACUGCUUUUAUAUGGGAAUAAAGUGAGCCUCGUGAGGCUAUUUGCAUGUACCUUAUGAAUAAGGACCGGCUAUUUCCGUGCCAGCAGCCGCGGGUAUACGGAGGGUCCGGGCGUUAUCCGGAUUUAUUGGGUUUAAAGGGAGCGUAGGCCGAGAAUUAAGCGUGUUGUAAAAUGUAGAUGCUCAACAUCUGAACUGCAGCGCGAACUGGUUUCCUUGAGUACGCACAAAGUGGGCGGAAUUCGUGGUGUAG
rnacentral:rRNA from 1 species